UGGGAGGCAGCAGUAGGGAAUUUUGGACAAUGGGCGAAAGCCUGAUCCAGCCAUGCCGCGUGCAGGAUGAAGGCCUUCGGGUUGUAAACUGCUUUUGUACGGAACGAAAAGCCUCUUUCUAAUAAAGAGGGGUCAUGACGGUACCGUAAGAAUAAGCACCGGCUAACUACGUGCCAGCAGCCGCGGUAAUACGUAGGGUGCAAGCGUUAAUCGGAAUUACUGGGCGUAAAGCGUGCGCAGGCGGUUUUGUAAGACAGAGGUGAAAUCCCCGGGCUCAACCUGGGAACUGCCUUUGUGACUGCAAGGCUGGAGUGCGGCAGAGGGGGAUGGAAUUCCGCGUGUAGCAGUGAAAUGCGUAGAUAUGCGGAGGAACACCGAUGGCGAAGGCAAUCCCCUGGGCCUGCACUGACGCUCAUGCACGAAAGCGUGGGGAGCAAACAGGAUUAGAUACCCUGGUAGC
rnacentral:rRNA from 1 species